UACGGAGGGUGCAAGCGUUAUCCGGAUUCACUGGGUUUAAAGGGUGCGUAGGAGGGCAGGUAAGUCAGUGGUGAAAUCUCCAAGCUUAACUUGGAAACUGCCGUUGAUACUAUCUGUCUUGAAUAUUGUGGAGGUGAGCGGAAUAUGUCAUGUAGCGGUGAAAUGCUUAGAUAUGACAUAGAACACCAAUUGCGAAGGCAGCUCACUACGGAUGUAUUGACACUGAGGCACGAAAGCGUGGGGAUCAAACAGGG
rnacentral:rRNA from 1 species